AACAGAGGAUGCAAGCGUUAUCCGGAAUUAUUGGGCGUAAAGUGUCUGUAGGUGGCUUUUCAAGUCCGUCGUCAAAUCCCAGGGCUCAACCCUGGACAGGCGGUGGAAACUAGCAAGCUAGAGUACGGUAGAGGCAGAGGGAAGUUCCGGGGGAGCGGUGAAAUGCGUUGAGAUCGGGAAGCACACCAAAAGGCGAAAGCGCUCUGCUGGGCCGUCACUGACACUGAGAGACGAAAGCGAGGGGAGCGAAUGGG
rnacentral:rRNA from 1 species